GGGCGGGGCGGGGCAGGGGUCGCCACCGCCUUUCGGCUGCCAGGUGCUGACGGGGCGCGGAGCCCCCCCGCGGCGCAGGGUCGGGGGCUGCGGGCGCGGCCGCGCCACGAGUGUUCGCGGCCGCGAGGACGGCAGCGGGGUGUGGAACUGCACCCCGUGCAAGGGUCUGAGUUUUGGCCCCUGCGGGCGCCCAAGGUACGGGGACGGCGUGUGCUGCCCGACCCGCCGGCCCCUCGUCUCGCCCCGCGGCUCCCGCCUCAGGGAGGCACCACUGGAAUGGGCUCGUCCCUUUUCCUCCGCAAUUCCCGACUGGCCAGUUUGCCUGCACGUAGGUGUGCGAAAGCUGGGGAAUAAGGAGUUAAAACAGAGGCAAACUCCAGUGGAACGGCACCGACAGCCCCCUGAUCAAAUAAACAAGAAUUUGCACCAUAAAGAGCCCAGGACCCGAUUGUGACAGGUCGGAUUUCUGUUACUAUUAAAGCCAAUUCCUUGCGACCAUUUGACCAAAAGACCUCAAAUCUCCCCACUAAAAUUAUUUCUGACACAACCAUGUCCUAAUAUGAGUAAUGCUGCGGCAAUUAAGUAUUCCUUUUAUUUUUUACAGGGAAAAAACAACCACCAUAAAAAUUCAAAGUGGCAGGUUUGAAUGUUACUUGAAAAUAAUGAUAGUAGUACAGGUGACUUUUUUUUUAAUCUUCCAAGGCACUUCUUGGCAUGGACUGCAAUAAGAGCUUCAUCCUGCCUAAAAAUUAUGUUGUGAUUAUUUUUAUAUUGUCAGUGCUUUCCUCACAUUUAUAGAAAUUGUGUCAUUUUAUGUGGUCAAACAACUACAUGUGAACUCUUUAUUCAGAUGAAGAUUUGAAGGGUUUCCUAGUUUUAAUUUAUACUGUAAAUAUGACAGUUUCCUGACACAGCAUUCUUCUGUCUUGACUUUGUGCCAGCCCUUCAAGCAGAAUGUGUGUCUUGUUCCUUAUGAAAACCCCUUGUUUAAAAUCCCGUUGAUGAAAGCUGCAGCUCCUGGCUUUUACUGCAUCGCACUUGGGCCACAAUCCCAUCAUCAGUAAUGCUGCAGGAUCAGUGAUUCAGAGAGUAGAUCCUUGAACUACAGGAAACAAGCAAACAAGCAGAAGAUGGUAUGUAGAUUCUUGCUCAUGACAGCAUCCUUGUGCCAAACAGAGAGCGGACUUCCUAGGACUACCUACUUGCCUCUUCCUGUUUCUGUAACCUACUCCAAGAAAAAGAGAAAACAUCUGCUGAAGUUUUAAGCUCUGAACUGAUAUAGGUACCCAAGAUCAAAAUUUGGAGAUUUUGUGUGCUGCUAAAAUAAAGUGCUCUAAUUAGUGCAUAUAACUGUUUUGUUUGCACAAAAAUGAGUUGUGUAAAUCAGCUGCAAACCGCUACACAAUUACCAAUCUAAUGAAAAAAAGCAAAUUAUGCAAAUAUUAAAUAGCCCGACUUAUUACU